CUAACUUGAUUAAAAAAUCUGGGAAAAAAGAAAGCAUACCAUUGUGAGGAGGGCUCUCAGCUUUAAUUCUGGAACUAAAGCAAGACCCCAUGGGGAAAAAAAGCUCAGGGUGAAAACGGAGAAGAAAAUAGAGACUACAGAGAAGAAUUUGAGGGAAAGGAAAC